rnacentral:rRNA from 1 species
AAUAGAUACCCCGGUAGUCCACGCCGUAAACGAUGAGUGCUAAGUGUUAGAGGGUUUCCGCCCUUUAGUGCUGCAGCUAACGCAUUAAGCACUCCGCCUGGGGAGUACGGCCGCAAGGCUGAAACUCAAAGGAAUUGACGGGGGCCCGCACAAGCGGUGGAGCAUGUGGUUUAAUUCGAAGCAACGCGAAGAACCUUACCAGGUCUUGACAUCCUCUGCUAACCCUAGAGAUAGGGCGUUCCCCUUCGGGGGACAGAGUGACAGGUGGUGCAUGGUUGUCGUCAGCUCGUGUCGUGAGAUGUUGGGUUAAGUCCCGCAACGAGCGCAACCCUUGAUCUUAGUUGCCAGCAUUCAGUUGGGCACUCUAAGGUGACUGCCGGUGACAAACCGGAGGAAGGUGGGGAUGACGUCAAAUCAUCAUGCCCCUUAUGACCUGGGCUACACACGUGCUACAAUGGAUGGUACAAAGAGCUGCGAACCCGCGAGGGUAAGCGAAUCUCAUAAAGCCAUUCUCAGUUCGGA